AGUCGAGGGGCAUCGGGAAGAAAGCUUGCUUUCUUUGCCGGCGACCGGCGCACGGGUGAGUAACACGUAUCCAACCUGCCCUUUACUCGGGGAUAGCCUUUCGAAAGAAAGAUUAAUACCCGAUGGGAUAAUUAUUCCGCAUGGUUUGAUUAUUAAAGGAUUCCGGUAAAGGAUGGGGAUGCGUUCCAUUAGGUUGUUGGUGAGGUAACGGCUCACCAAGCCUUCGAUGGAUAGGGGUUCUGAGAGGAAGGUCCCCCACAUUGGAACUGAGACACGGUCCAAACUCCUACGGGAGGCAGCAGUGAGGAAUAUUGGUCAAUGGGCGCUAACCUGAACCAGCCAAGUAGCGUGAAGGAUGAAGGCUCUAUGGGUCGUAAACUUCUUUUAUAUAAGAAUAAAGUGCAGUAUGUAUACUGUUUUGUAUGUAUUAUAUGAAUAAGGAUCGGCUAACUCCGUGCCAGCAGCCGCGGUAAUACGGAGGAUCCGAGCGUUAUCCGGAUUUAUUGGGUUUAAAGGGAGCGUAGGUGGACUGGUAAGUCAGUUGUGAAAGUUUGCGGCUCAACCGUAAAAUUGCAGUUGAUACUGUCAGUCUUGAGUACAGUAGAGGUGGGCGGAAUUCGUGGUGUAGCGGUGAAAUGCUUAGAUAUCACGAAGAACUCCGAUUGCGAAGGCAGCUCACUGGACUGCAACUGACACUGAUGCUCGAAAGUGUGGGUAUCAAACAGGAUUAGAUACCCUGGUAGUC
rnacentral:rRNA from 1 species